UUCACAAAUACAUAAAGAAAUGCAACUAUUUAAUUUAAUUAUUUAUUGUGCGGAAAGACUAUUUAUCAGUCUCAGAUUUAAUAAAAAUUUACGAGGCAUGCGGUAUUAAUUAAAAAUAUUAUAGUUUCGAGAGUGCUAGUAAAAAUGUGGGUUAUAUUGUGUGGGCCAGUCGUUAAUUUAAAUAUGUACGUUAACCUGAGAGCUAUGUUUAUAUGAAAAAUAUAGUAGACGCGAUUAUUUAUUUACUGACUCGUGAAUAAAUAUUACGUUCUGGCUGAGAUGAUUAUUUUAUAAAUUUGAAAAUUGGCCAGAAAAUAUUAAGAUAAUUAAUAAUAUUUUUAUUUAGCUAUUUUGUAUAAUGUUUAACUAUUUUAUACUCGUGUUUAUUAAAACCGAUACGAGAAUAAUAGAAAUAAAUGAAUCAAUUAAAUUUUUCCGGAACGUUACUUGGGGAGCAAGCAUCGUAACUUGGAGCCCAAGUCUUACUACUUGGUGCCCAAGCAAAGGGAUUAAUUAGAGAAAAAUUAAGAAGUAAUUAAGCAAUAAUUAUGAUUAGCAAUUUAGUAUAAAAACCCAGGUAUGGAGCCAAACAUUCCUUUUACCAAAAACCAGCGAAGGAAAGAAUGUUGGACAUGGAGAAUUUUGAUAGGAAAAAGGAGAGAAGCAGGAGAAUGAAAGAUUUGGGAGAUUACAAGAAUACACCAAAGAAGAUUGAUUAGCUGGAAGGCGAGCUUGAUUAUUCAACUUAAAUUGGAACGUGGUGCGCUGGAAGAAUUCUGGAGAAGGAUAUUCAGGCAAGGGUAAAAGUGUGAUGAACCGAAGUGCUAGACUUGGUUGGAUUUGAAAUUAGAAGUUUAGUAGAAGUAUUAUGUAAUCGAAAGAAAUAUUUGUGAACUUUUAGAAGAGUGAUGUAAGACUCUGAUGUAAGGUAAAAUAUGCCUUUAAAUUAUAUUAAGUUUGAGAUUAUGAAGAUGUAUUUCAGUGUGUUCAGUAGAAUGGCACCCCCGGGCCGGGUUGCUGAAGUCAUCACGGGCCGGGGGCGUCACAGGUGGUAUCAGAGCUAUAGGUUCGAGAAUCGGCGAAGGUAGGAUCAAGACCUUAGACUAGUGUGAUUUUAAGUUAGAAAGGUCUAGAGAAUAUAUGGAUAUUAUUCGUAAAUGUGUGGAAUAGACUAUGUGUCUAAUAUAUACUAUAGUUGGAACCCUCAAAGUUUAAGGGACUGUAGAUUCCGUUGAGGCAAAGAUAUGGCCAAGAGAAAUAAAGAAAACCUUUGAAAUGGUUGGUAAUUGGUAUAGAAGAGGAUAAGAAAAUUAUCUUUGAUGCUUAAAUGAUUAAUGGGGAGGCUAAUUAUUGGUGAGAAGUUAAGCAAGUUCUAGAAAAGUCUAGUGUAAUAUCAUGGACUAGGUUGACAAAAUUAUUACUAAAAUAGUAUUUUCCUAAAAACCUAGAGAAUUAAAUAAAGCUCAGAUUUUUAGAAUCAAGCAAGAGAAUAUGUUAGUAGCUGAGUACGAAGCUAAGUUUAUCGAACUUUCGAGAUUGAUUCUGUAUUAAGAAUAUACAGAUGAAAAGAAAGUUAGACGUUUUUAGUCGAGUUUAAAACUCUGGAUUCCGAAUACAGUUGUUAUCCUCGAGAUUGCUAGUUAUGCGAUGUUAGUACACAAAGUUUGUAUCAUUGAGUCAGGUCGUGAGUUGUUUAACAAAGAGAAAGUCGAUAGGAAGCGGAAACCCCCGCAAAAUAAUCAAAAUAUUAGAAAGAAACCUUGGAAUCAUAGUAUAAGGGAACCUUCUGGGAAGUAAGAGAUGCCGCGAGCAGAAAAUAUAGGUAAUAUAGAAAGAAAUCAAAUAUUUAGAUCUUCAUAGACCGCGAAUGUGUUAUAAGUGAGACCCACGUUGCUUGAAUAUAAGAUAUGUGCCUCGAAUUGGAAAGAAAAGUCAAUACCCUUAGAAGAAGCGAUGAAUAUAGAAUCAACUGACCAGAAAAUGAUUACGGUAAGUCAAAUUUGUCCAUGUUGUGAGAUAAUCAUUCAAAAACAAUUUUUGAGAUAAAUCUUGUUCUUUGAUAUUCAUUCAAUCCGAUUGGGAUGAACAACCCUUAUUAUAGGGGACACAAGGUAUACCUGUCUGUGUGAUAGGAGUUGGAUGGGACGCCAUCACUUGUGUGUGUUGUGAUUACAAGAAGGUUAACAACCUUUAGUAGUGUCUUAAUUUGGACACGCAACACUUAGUUCAUUUAAUCAUAUUGAUCUCCCAGUCAUCCUUUUAUUUUAAAUGAAAGUCAUUUUGAAAACUCAUUGAUUGGUGAUUACCAUUGUGAAAGACUUCUUUAUAUCCAAGAAAGUUUUCAAAAUUCUUAUUUCCUUUGAGUUCUUUUAACAAUGCUCAUUUCAAAUCCUUUGAUUUGUUCUUUUCAAAAAUAGAGUUUGUUUUAGAAAAAGUGUUUUAAGAAGGUGCUGUAUGAUGACGUCAGAACCAGACCCCCGAAUUUGUAGGAUGCUACAUCGAUUAUCGAGAGUUAAAUAAGAUGACCCUUUACCUUGAGUUGAUGAUUUGUUUGACCAAUUGAUGGAAGCCUCUUACUUUUCUAAGAUAGACUUGAGAUCUAGAUACCAUCAAUUAGGGAUCAGGCCUAAAAAUGUACCUAAGACGGUCUAUAGGACCCGACAUGAACAUUGUGAAUUCUUAAGAGAUGUUUUUUUGGAUUGAUUAAUGCACCCAUAGUAUUUAUGGAUCUUAUGGACAGGAUGUGUUCUUAUGAAACAUAGAAAAGUGAUAACAUAUGCUUGUAGACAACUUAAGAACCACAAAUUGAGAUAUCCUACCCAGGACCUAAAAUUAACUACUAUAGUAUCUACUUUAAAAUUUUGGCGACAUUACUUGUAUGGUGAAAAGUGUGAGAUCUUUACGGAUCACAAGAGUUUAAAUUACUUAUUUACCCAGAACGGGUUGAAUAUCUGACAAAAGAAAUGGAAAACCAAGAGUCGGUGAUUAGGGAUUCAGAACAUAAGGAGGGAAGGAGUUAUGAGAUGUUAGUACAACCAAAGUUAAUAGAAAGAAGCUAUGUGAGAAAUUAUAAGAUGUAAUAAGAAAAAGCUACCCUGAGUUUUUCAACACCAAUCGGGAUUCCGAGGACGGAAUCCUUUAAGGAGGGAAGAAUGUAACACCCGAGAAAUUCACAAAUACAUAAAGAAAUGCAACUAUUUAAUUUAAUUAUUUAUUGUGCGGAAAGACUAUUUAUCAGUCUCAGAUUUAAUAAAAAUUUACGAGGCAUGCGGUAUUAAUUAAAAAUAUUAUAGUUUCGAGAGUGCUAGUAAAAAUGUGGGUUAUAUUGUGUGGGCCAGUCGUUAAUUUAAAUAUGUACGUUAACCUGAGAGCUAUGUUUAUAUGAAAAAUAUAGUAGACGCGAUUAUUUAUUUACUGACUCGUGAAUAAAUAUUACGUUCUGGCUGAGAUGAUUAUUUUAUAAAUUUGAAAAUUGGCCAGAAAAUAUUAAGAUAAUUAAUAAUAUUUUUAUUUAGCUAUUUUGUAUAAUGUUUAACUAUUUUAUACUCGUGUUUAUUAAAACCGAUACGAGAAUAAUAGAAAUAAAUGAAUCAAUUAAAUUUUUCCGGAACGUUACUUGGGGAGCAAGCAUCGUAACUUGGAGCCCAAGUCUUACUACUUGGUGCCCAAGCAAAGGGAUUAAUUAGAGAAAAAUUAAGAAGUAAUUAAGCAAUAAUUAUGAUUAGCAAUUUAGUAUAAAAACCCAGGUAUGGAGCCAAACAUUCCUUUUACCAAAAACCAGCGAAGGAAAGAAUGUUGGACAUGGAGAAUUUUGAUAGGAAAAAGGAGAGAAGCAGGAGAAUGAAAGAUUUGGGAGAUUACAAGAAUACACCAAAGAAGAUUGAUUAGCUGGAAGGCGAGCUUGAUUAUUCAACUUAAAUUGGAACGUGGUGCGCUGGAAGAAUUCUGGAGAAGGAUAUUCAGGCAAGGGUAAAAGUGUGAUGAACCGAAGUGCUAGACUUGGUUGGAUUUGAAAUUAGAAGUUUAGUAGAAGUAUUAUGUAAUCGAAAGAAAUAUUUGUGAACUUUUAGAAGAGUGAUGUAAGACUCUGAUGUAAGGUAAAAUAUGCCUUUAAAUUAUAUUAAGUUUGAGAUUACAAAGUUACAUUUCAGUGUGUUCAGUAGAAUGGCACCCCCGG